AUCAACAUCUAUACAAGGUUAGAGACUGAUCAACAUCUAUACAAGGUUACAGAGACUGAUCAACCUCUAUACAAGGUUACAGAGACUGAUCAACAUCUCAUACAAGGUUAGAGACUGAUCAACAUCUAUACAAGUAGAGACUUAUCAAGCUUACAAUUACAGAGACUGCUCAACAUCUAUACAAGGUUACAGAGACUGCUCAACAUCAUACAAGGUUACAGAGACUGAUCAACAUCUAUACAAGGUUAAGAGACUGAUCAACAUCUAUACAAGGUUAGACUGAUCAACAUCUAUACAAGGUUACAGAGACUGAUCAACAUCUAUACAAGGUACAGAGACUGAUCACUCUAUACAAGGUUACAGAGACUGAUCAACAUCUAUACAAGGUUACAGAGAUGUCAACAUCUAUACAGUUACAGAGCUGAUCAACCCUAUACAAGGUUAGCAGAGACUGAUCAACAUCUAUACAAGGUUAGAGACUGAUCAACAUCUAUACAAGGUACAGAGACUGAUCAACAUCUAUACAAUGUUACAGAGACUGAUCAACAUCUAUAGCAAGUUACAUAGACUGAUCAUAUACAAGGUUAGAGAGCGGAUCACACAUCUAUACAAGGUUAGAGAGACUGAUCAACAUCUAUCCAAGGUUAGAGACUGAUCAACUCUAUACAAGGUUACAGAGACUGAUCAACAUCUAUACAAGGUUACAGAGACUGAUCAACUCUAUACAAGGUUACAGAGAGAUCAACAAGAUACAAGGUUACAGAGACUGAUCAACCUCUAUACAAGGUUACAGAGACUGAUCAACAUCUAUACAAGGUUACAGAGACUGAUCAACCUCUAUACAAGGUUACAGAGACUGACUAUAAAGGUACAGAGAUUCAAAAAUUUAACUCUUAGCUCUUGACAGACAGGCUAGCAGGUUUACUGUGUGAGGAAGAGUCUGUCUUACGGCGUGAGGAGGAAGAGUCGGUCGUACGCCGACCUGACUAGCGUGAGGAGGAGAGUCUGUCGUACGCCAACCUUACUGCGUGAGGAGGAAGAGUCUGUCGACGCCAGACCUUACGCGUGAGAGGAAGAGUCUGUCGUACCAGACCUUACUGCGGGAGGAGGAAGAGUCGGUCGUACGCCAGGCCUUACUGCGUGAGGAGGAAGGUCUAGUCUUACUGUGUGAUGAGGAAGAGUCUGUCGUACGCCAGGUCUACUGUGUGAUGAGGAAGAGUCGGUCGUACGCCAGGUCUUACUGUGUGGAUGAGGAAGAGUCGGUCGUACGCCAGGUCUUACUGUGUGAUGAGGAAGAGUCUCGUCGUAAGCCAGGUCUUACUGUGUGA
rnacentral:lncRNA from 1 species